GAUGCAAGACCCGUAAAAUAUGCAAGUUCCGGUUCCGGUCAUGUGAAUUUUACGUUAGGCUCUGUAAAAAGGGCAAGACCCGUAAAAAGUGCAAGUCUUAUAUUGUUUUGCAAUGACUUUGGUAUUUAAUUGGAGAAAAACAUCACUAAUAAAGAGGGUCGACGUUCGUUUCUUCAAGAUUGGGCAAAAAAACAUUACAAUGCGGUUCGCAGUGCGCAGGCUACUGUCCCCCUUCAAGAGCACCCAGGUCAUACAAGCUGAACACGGUUGACCUGCACACCUAACAGUGGAAAUAAUGAAACAAGUGAUCACACAUCCACCCACUUUCUGCCCGGAACAACAGUUAGCCUUCUGUGCAAGGUCAUGAGGUGAAACCUGGAUGUUUCGUAUCCAUGACUGCACACAGCUACUGUGAGAGUCUCGACUCUCUGGUGGUUCAGGGUCCCAUUUUCCCACAAUACUGCUGUAUACGAGGGCAGGACAAACAAAUGGUUACUGGUGAGAUUCACUUCUGCCUUUAUAAGGCCAAGUGGUGGUCUUCAAGUGACGCGGUCUUGGCUUAAGGGUCUCGGCUACAUCCAUGACUGGCAAUUUGGCUUGAAAAGCCAUAAGGCAGACACUGGAGAGCGACAUACAAAGAGUUGUUUUGGUUUCCAG